CACGUCCCCACGGAUGCCCCAAGGACACAGAGAUUCCCUCUGAUGCUCAGCUCUGUGAGAACAGGCAGCUUUUCGAGCACUGCUUGUCCCUGGGAUCUCUGAACAGAAAGCACAGCAACCCAUAGUUAAACAGGCUGCAACAACACAUUCCUCACUGAGCAGGACAUUCCAGAGGUUAGAAGUGACACUUGAAGGAGUGAAACCAAGCAGCCAAGGGGAAACCUGCCACUGCCCCACCAGACUUUGAUCUCCACAUCACUGUGUCCAGGUCGAACUUUAGCACCAUUUGGAAAUGCUUAUGAGUUCCUGUACAGCUGCACAGGCAGAGAAGGG